GGGUUGUGAGGUUAAGCGACUAAGCGUACACGGUGGAUGCCCUGGCAGUCAGAGGCGAUGAAGGACGUGCUAAUCUGCGAUAAGCGCCGGUAAGGUGAUAUGAACCGUUAUAACCGGCGAUUUCCGAAUGGGGAAACCCAGUGUGACUCGUCACACUAUCAUUAACUGAAUCCAUAGGUUAAUGAGGCGAACCGGGGGAACUGAAACAUCUAAGUACCCCGAGGAAAAGAAAUCAACCGAGAUUCCCCCAGUAGCGGCGAGCGAACGGGGAGGAGCCCAGAGCCUGAAUCAGCAUGUGUGUUAGUGGAAGCGUCUGGAAAGGCGCGCGAUACAGGGUGACAGCCCCGUACACAAAAGCGCACAUGCUGUGAGCUCGAUGAGUAGGGCGGGACACGUGGUAUCCUGUCUGAAUAUGGGGGGACCAUCCUCCAAGGCUAAAUACUCCUGACUGACCGAUAGUGAACCAGUACCGUGAGGGAAAGGCGAAAAGAACCCCGGCGAGGGGAGUGAAAAAGAACCUGAAACCGUGUACGUACAAGCAGUGGGAGCCCCACCACUAAGCCAGUGGUGAACUCCACAUACGCAUCCUUUGCUGAGGAUACGGUUAACGGAGCGAAAGCGACGUUCAACCUCAAAAGAAGCAGAGGGGGCUUAGUGGUGGGGUGACUGCGUACCUUUUGUAUAAUGGGUCAGCGACUUAUAUUCUGUAGCAAGGUUAACCGAAUAGGGGAGCCGGAGGGAAACCGAGUCUUAAUUGGGCGUUAAGUUGCAGGGUAUAGACCCGAAACCCGGUGAUCUAGCCAUGGGCAGGUUGAAGGUUGGGUAACACUAACUGGAGGACCGAACCGACUAAUGUUGAAAAAUUAGCGGAUGACCUGUGGCUGGGGGUGAAAGGCCAAUCAAACCGGGAGAUAGCUGGUUCUCCCCGAAAGCUAUUUAGGUAGCGCCUCGUGAACUCAUCUCCGGGGGUAGAGCACUGUUUCGGCUAGGGGGCCAUCCCGGCUUACCAACCCGAUGCAAACUGCGAAUACCGGAGAAUGUUAUCACGGGAGACACACGGCGGGUGCUAACGUCCGUCGUGAAGAGGGAAACAACCCAGACCGCCAGCUAAGGUCCCAAAGUCAUGGUUAAGUGGGAAACGAUGUGGGAAGGCCCAGACAGCCAGGAUGUUGGCUUAGAAGCAGCCAUCAUUUAAAGAAAGCGUAAUAGCUCACUGGUCGAGUCGGCCUGCGCGGAAGAUGUAACGGGGCUAAACCAUGCACCGAAGCUGCGGCAGCGACGCUGAUGCGUUGUUGGGUAGGGGAGCGUUCUGUAAGCCUGCGAAGGUGGCCUGUGAGGGUUGCUGGAGGUAUCAGAAGUGCGAAUGCUGACAUAAGUAACGAUAAAGCGGGUGAAAAGCCCGCUCGCCGGAAGACCAAGGGUUCCUGUCCAACGUUAAUCGGGGCAGGGUGAGUCGACCCCUAAGGCGAGGCCGAAAGGCGUAGUCGAUGGGAAACGGGUUAAUAUUCCCGUACUUGGUGUUACUGCGAAGGGGGGACGGAGAAGGCUAUGUUGGCCGGGCGACGGUUGUCCCGGUUUAAGCGUGUAGGUGUGUGUUCCAGGUAAAUCCGGUUCACUUUAACACUGAGGCGUGAUGACGAGGCACUACGGUGCUGAAGCAACAAAUGCCCUGCUUCCAGGAAAAGCCUCUAAGCAUCAGGUAACAUCAAAUCGUACCCCAAACCGACACAGGUGGUCAGGUAGAGAAUACCAAGGCGCUUGAGAGAACUCGGGUGAAGGAACUAGGCAAAAUGGUGCCGUAACUUCGGGAGAAGGCACGCUGACACGUAGGUGAAGUGAUUUACUCAUGGAGCUGAAGUCAGUCGAAGAUACCAGCUGGCUGCAACUGUUUAUUAAAAACACAGCACUGUGCAAACACGAAAGUGGACGUAUACGGUGUGACGCCUGCCCGGUGCCGGAAGGUUAAUUGAUGGGGUCAGCGCAAGCGAAGCUCCUGAUCGAAGCCCCGGUAAACGGCGGCCGUAACUAUAACGGUCCUAAGGUAGCGAAAUUCCUUGUCGGGUAAGUUCCGACCUGCACGAAUGGCGUAAUGAUGGCCAGGCUGUCUCCACCCGAGACUCAGUGAAAUUGAACUCGCUGUGAAGAUGCAGUGUACCCGCGGCAAGACGGAAAGACCCCGUGAACCUUUACUAUAGCUUGACACUGAACAUUGAGCCUUGAUGUGUAGGAUAGGUGGGAGGCUUUGAAGUGUGGACGCCAGUCUGCAUGGAGCCGACCUUGAAAUACCACCCUUUAAUGUUUGAUGUUCUAACGUGGACCCGUGAUCCGGGUUGCGGACAGUGUCUGGUGGGUAGUUUGACUGGGGCGGUCUCCUCCUAAAGAGUAACGGAGGAGCACGAAGGUUGGCUAAUCCUGGUCGGACAUCAGGAGGUUAGUGCAAUGGCAUAAGCCAGCUUGACUGCGAGCGUGACGGCGCGAGCAGGUGCGAAAGCAGGUCAUAGUGAUCCGGUGGUUCUGAAUGGAAGGGCCAUCGCUCAACGGAUAAAAGGUACUCCGGGGAUAACAGGCUGAUACCGCCCAAGAGUUCAUAUCGACGGCGGUGUUUGGCACCUCGAUGUCGGCUCAUCACAUCCUGGGGCUGAAGUAGGUCCCAAGGGUAUGGCUGUUCGCCAUUUAAAGUGGUACGCGAGCUGGGUUUAGAACGUCGUGAGACAGUUCGGUCCCUAUCUGCCGUGGGCGCUGGAGAACUGAGGGGGGCUGCUCCUAGUACGAGAGGACCGGAGUGGACGCAUCACUGGUGUUCGGGUUGUCAUGCCAAUGGCACUGCCCGGUAGCUAAAUGCGGAAGAGAUAAGUGCUGAAAGCAUCUAAGCACGAAACUUGCCCCGAGAUGAGUUCUCCCUGAGACUUUAGGUCUCCUGAAGGAACGUUGAAGACGACGACGUUGAUAGGCCGGGUGUGUAAGCGCAGCGAUGCGUUGAGCUAACCGGUACUAAUGAACCGUGAGGCUUAACCUUACAACGCCGAAG
rnacentral:rRNA from 1 species